CAAACUUUAUAUAACUGGGACCCUGUUACCUAUCUGCCUAGCACAUUGAGGAUGUUAUAUGAGUAAUGACCAAUACAGCAAUAAUGACAGCAAUAACCUGAGGAUCUCAGAACUCUUUCCAAAUUUCCCUUGCAGUGUACUUGACUGAGGACUUGAAAUACUAACUGCAGGAUUAAGAGCACAAAGGUUACAAGCAGAUCACCAGUUCUUACCAUAGUGCUUCAAAAAGCUGCAAAGAAUUUCUUGAGGAAGAUGGGCCAGCCUCCAAAACACACAAUGUCUCUGCUCCGGCCUCAGAAAGUCAUGGAGUGCAGUAUUUCUACCCGGAAGGGAAGAAGACCAUCUACUGAAGGAUCUGGAUUAAGAGGAUUCAGUGCUAUCAUGAAGGACAAGAACCUGAAGAGGGAUCUAUUUGGAAGAGGGACUUCAUGCACAAGCAAGGAUCUAACGGUGAAAAUAAGGCUCCAUUGAAUCCAUGGGAGCGAUGCAGGAUUACGGAUUCCAUCAUUUUUCUAGAGAGACAGAUUUAAGACGGCUGUUGGCAUCCUGUAACUUUACAUUAGACUGUUGAAUCAUUCAGCUGCAAACAAUUCACAAUCCCAACACAUGGCAGUGGACUGGCUAGUUCACUCAUUUCUCAAUGCUAGAAACCUGGCCUCAAAUCAUAGAUCAGGUCAUGGGUGAAAAUGAGUUUAUUGGUUUCCAUCUGUUUGUAGUCCUCACACCACCACCACACAGUUUAGUGCAGCUCUGCAUGAUUCCUAGUUUCCUCUUAUGAGAGGUCUAGCACUCCAAGAACAGUAUGUGGCUUAGCCAGGCUGAGACUGAGCUGCAUUGGCACAGCUACAUGGGGAAAGCUGCACAUCAAUUAACCUUUCUAUAGUGUAUCUAGCAUGAACCAAUGCUAUUAGAGUCUCAUUUUCAUGAGCACUCGAUUCACUCAUACAUUGUACACUUUAUAAAAAAGGUGCUUCCUACCCAGACUGGAUUAGUAUUCACUGUAUGAGAAGUAAUAUGUGCUAGUUAUUCCACAAUGUCAUUAUUCCAAAAGUAGACAACUAUAUCUUUGUAAAUAUUUUUCCUCCUGUUUUCUUAUUACUCUUCUGUAUUGCUCUCUUCAUGUCUGACCCUACCCUUACACACGGGUAUGCCCCUUGACUACUCUUAUGUACAUAAAUGUUUGAAGGGGAAAGGAGCCCAUGAAGAGUUCACAUUUCCCUUACCCCUUCUUCUUUGGCUCUGUCAUCAUUACUGCUUUUUUCUUCAGGU